rnacentral:rRNA from 1 species
GUGAGCGACAACAACCAGCGUUAAUGCAUGGGAUCCCAUCAGAGCUCCGCAGUUAAGCGCGCUUGGGCUAGAGUAGUACUGGGAUGGGUGACCUCCUGGGAAGUCCUAGUGUUGCACCCU